AUGCUACUGGCUGUGGAAGGAGGAGGUUUCUUCUCAUCGUCAGCUUCAGGAUACAGUCAUGGCCUUGCUCUUUUGCUGCUUGGACGGAAAGAAGAAGAGAAGCCUGUCAAGGCAUGGAGUCAGUACCGACUAGUCGAUGGGGAAGCUGAGCAUGUGUAUCAUCUGGCUAACACGAAAAACCAAGCUCCCCGUAAAUGUGCUCCCUUCAUCUGCUUCGGUAGCACUGCUUUGGAGCUCGAAGGGGCGUCUCCUCCGAAAUUGAGUUCAAGCAACACUUUGGACUCUUUGGAAGAGCCAUCCCGUUCAACAAAGAAGAAGGUUACCACUAAUGGUUCCAUAACUGGAGAUGAGAGAAAAGGUUGUCUUAAGAGCAACUCAAAAAGGGAUUCGUCAGAGCAUUGUAUAGUGGUGAGUGAAGAUGAAGAACCACGUGAGUCACUGGAAGAGGUGCAAACCUUGAAAUCUGGUAUAGAACGGAGAAAAGUUCAAUGGACUGAUACAUGUGGAAAGAAGCUUUUUGAGAUAAGGGAAUUCGAAGCCAGCGAUGGAAGUUUGUCAGAUGAUGAACUGGAAAAUGAGGGUUUCAGGAAGUGUGAGUGUGUGAUUCAGUAG
rnacentral:rRNA from 1 species